rnacentral:rRNA from 1 species
AUACGGAGGAUGCGAGCGUUAUCCGGAUUUAUUGGGUUUAAAGGGUGCGUAGGCGGACGAUUAAGUCAGCUGUGAAAUGCCCGCGCUUAACGCGGGAAGUGCAGUUGAUACUGGUUGUCUGGAGUGCCGUUGCCGUGGGGGGAAUGUGUAGUGUAGCGGUGAAAUGCAUAGAUAUUACACAGAACGCCGAUUGUGAAGACAUCUCGUGAAGAACUAACGGUGCGUGAGGAAAGAAUGGGUGGGGAACAAGCAGAAUUAGACUCCUUGUUAGUACAGGAAGCAAACGAUGCUAACUAUCCGUGGGUGUUAGCCCUCCAGUGGCCAAGCUAAAGCGAUAAGUCAUCCACCUGGGGAGUACGACCGCAAGGUUGAAACUCAAAUGAAUUGGCGGGG